CUGUGUAUACCGCCAUGCCGCGCUCGGCACCCGCGCACCGGCCGCCCGUGCAGCCCCCACCGCCGCCUCUUUCCCACAGCCCCGGCCCUGCCUCCCGCGGGAGCCGCCGCCCCGGCCUCCUGCACCCGCCACCGCCACCCCGGCCGCAGGCGGGCACCCCGCCGCCCGACGGGGCAGGGGCUGGGCUCGGCGAGGGAGAGGCGCGGCCGCCAGACGGUGACAGCGGCGGCCAUGGCUCCCGCCGCGGCGCUGACAGGCUGACAGCCGAGAGCCGCUGCCCGCCGCAGCCGUGCCCCUGCGCGGGGCAGCGUAGGGCCGGGCUCGGCGCCCCGCGGGGCCGGGAGGGUGCGGCGCACGCCUGCCCGGGAGACAGGGCAGCAGAUACAGCCCCCGAAGCGGGCACCGGGUGCGUCCUCGCACACCGGCAGGCUGCAGUUAAAGGGUCUCGCUGCGUUUGGGAGAAGCCCCUGGAGGCAGGAACACACACACAAGGGAGUACUUAGAGGCUGGUACUACGUUCACCUAAUUCAGAGACAGCAGCUCUGUCUCAGGUUCUGUGACACAUCAGGGCUGGCCUCAGAAAUGCCACAGCUACAUCUGCAGUCUGGCAUCACAGGUGAUGAAGAUUGAAGCACAAUCUCCAUGGAGCCUGUUCUGAUGCAGGUAUCCCUGACCUCAUUACCGUGGGAUACUGGCAACCUGCUCAGGAUACAGAUCCUGGAGAAUGAGAUCAGAAUUAAGGACACAGUGUUGGAAAGUGUACUGUGUUAAAUCUCAGAGCAUUUAAGGCUGGAAGAGAUCUUCAGAGGUCUUCUGGGCCAAACCCUGCUGCUCAGGCACAGCCACUCAGAGCUGCUUGAACAGGAUUAUGUCUGAGUGGCUUCUUUGGAAUAUCUCCAACAUGACAGACCCCACAUCAUCACCUGUGCCAGUGCUUGAUCACCCUCAUAGUAAAAAAAGCAUUUCUUGA